UACGUAGGGGGCAAGCGUUGUCCGGAAUCAUUGGGCGUAAAGCGCGUGUAGGCGGCUCGAUAAGUCCGCUCUGAAAUCCCUCGGCUCAACUGAGGAACUGCCUUUGAAACUGUCUGGCUUGAGGCCGGGAGAGGGUAGCGGAAUUCCCAGUGUAGCGGUGAAAUGCGUAGAUAUGCGGAGGAACACCGAUGGCGAAGGCAAUCCCCUGGGCCUGUACUGACGCUCAUGCACGAAAGCGUGGGGAGCAAACAGG
rnacentral:rRNA from 1 species